rnacentral:rRNA from 1 species
GACGAACGCUGGCGGCGUGCCUAACACAUGCAAGUCGAGCGAAUGAAGUUCCUUCGGGAAUGUAUUUAGCGGCGGACGGGUGAGUAACACGUGGGCAACCUGCCUCAUAGAGGGGAAUAGCCUCCCGAAAGGGAGAUUAAUACCGCAUAAGAUUGUAGUACCGCAUGAUACAGCAAUUAAAGGAGCAAUCCGCUAUGAGAUGGGCCCGCGGCGCCUUAGCUAGUUGGUGAGGUAAUGGCUCACCAAGGCGACGAUGCGUAGCCGACCUGAGAGGGUGAUCGGCCACAUUGGGACUGAGACACGGCCCAGACUCCUACGGGAGGCAGCAGUGGGGAAUAUUGCACAAUGGGGGAAACCCUGAUGCAGCAACGCCGCGUGAGUGAUGACGGCAUUCGGGUUGUAAAGCUCUGUCUUCAGGGACGAUAAUGACGGUACCUGAGGAGGAAGCCACGGCUAACUACGUG